UGAAUACGAGAUGCUACGGCGUCGAAGCAGUCUAUGUCAUACUUCCAAGAAAAGCUUGCACUGUCAUAAACAAAUAAUGCCUGUACCAUAACCGACACAGGUGGGUAGGUAGAGUAUACUAAGGGGCGCGAGAUAACUCUCUCUAAGGAACUCGGCAAAAUGACUCCGUAACUUCGGGAGAAGGAGUGCCUUAUUUAUAAGGUUGCAAUAACAAGAUCCAAGCAACUGUUUACCAAAAACACAGGUCUCCGCUAAGUCGUAAGACGAUGUAUGGGGGCUGACGCCUGCCCAGUGCCAGAAGGUUAAAGAAGUUGGUUAGCAUCCGCGAAGCUGAUAACUGAAGCCCUGGUGAACGGCGGCCGUAACUAUAACGGUCCUAAGGUAGCGAAAUUCCUUGUCGGGUAAGUUCCGACCCGCACGAAAGGCGUAAUGAUUUGGAUACUGUCUCGGAGAGGGGCUCGGUGAAAUAGACUUGUCUGUGAAGAUGCGGACUACCUGCACCAGGACAGAAAGACCCUAUGAAGCUUUACUGUAACCUGAAAUUGAAAUUGGACUUUACUUGCGCAGUAUAGGUGGGAGGCGUUGAGAAUAUUCUUGCGGGAUUAUUGGAGCCAUCAGUGAGAUACCACUCUUGUAAUGUUAGAUUUCUAACUUUGUAUCAUUAUCUGGUCAAAGAACAGUUUCAGGCGGGCAGUUUGACUGGGGCGGUCGCCUCCUAAACGGUAACGGAGGCGCACAAAGGUUUCCUCUGAACGGGUAGAAAUCGUAUCUAGAGUGUAAAGGCAUAAGGAAGCUUGACUGUGAGACCUACAAGUCGAGCAGGGACGAAAGUCGGUCUUAGUGAUCUGACGGUGCUGAGUGGAAAGGCCGUCACUCAACGGAUAAAAGUUACUCUAAGGAUAACAGGCUGAUCUCCCCCAAGAGUUCACAUCGACGGGGAGGUUUGGCACCUCGAUGUCGGCUCAUCGCAUCCUGGGGCGGUAGUACGUCCCAAGGGUUGGGCUGUUCGCCCAUGAAAGCGGUACGCGAGCUGGGUUCAGAACGUCGUGAGACAGUUCGGUCCAUAUCCGGUGUAGGCGUUAGAAUAUUGAGAGGAGCCUUCUUUAGUACGAGAGGACCGAGAAGGACAUACCUCUGGUGUACCAGUUAUCGUGCCAACGGUAAACGCUGGGUAGCUAUGUGUGGAGUGGAUAACCGCUGAAAGCAUCUAAGUGGGAAGCCCACCUCAAGAUAAGUAUUCC
rnacentral:rRNA from 1 species